AGGCUUUGAUCCUGGCUCAGAGAUGAACGCUGGCGGCGUGCUUAACACAUGCAAGUCCAACGAAGUCUUCGGACUCAGUGGCGGACAGGUGAGUACACGCGUGAGGAUCUGCCCUUAGGUUGGGGACAACCACUGGAAACGGUGGCUAAUACCCAAUGUGCCGAGAGGUGAGAGGUUAACUGCCUGAGGAUGAACUCGCGUCUGAUUAGCUAGUUGGUGGGGUAAGGGCUCACCAAGGCGACGAUCACGUAGCUGGUCUGAGAGGAUGAUCAGCCACACUGGGACUGAGACACGGCCCAGACUCCUACGGGAGGCAGCAGUGGGGAAUUUUCCGCAAUGGGCGAUAGCCUGACGGAGCAACGCCGCGUGAGGGAGGAAGGCCCUAGGGUUGUAAACCUCUUUUCUCUGAGGAAGAAGAUCUGACGGUACCAGAGGAAUAAGCCUCGGCUAACUCCGUGCCCAGCAGCCGCGGUAAGACGGAGGAGGCAAGCGUUAUCCGGAAUUAUUGGGCGU
rnacentral:rRNA from 1 species